UAUGGAGGCAGUACUGCCUCGAGCCGUCAGUGCAGCCUACGAGUUCAUCAUCUGGCUAGCUAAGGGUAGCAUGAGCAGGCUAGCCGUUAGGUAGCUAGUUGGUUAGCCGCAUUUAGUCUCAGUUUUUGAUGAACAUUAAAGUAGGACCUGUUCAUCAUUAUUAGAUGCCAGCAUUGUGAGAAAGCGAAGGUGGAGAAUCCGACGCCGUGUUUGAGUGGGUGUGUUGGCUGCAGGGGAAGAUGUGCAAUGGGAAGACAGAGGCAACAUCAGAAGCCUGUCAGAGCCACACUUGCCUUCAUUUGUUAUUCUGCUUGUUGCUGGCACUGGCAGUGGUUGCUUCAGGGCAAGGUUUAGGAUGCGUGAGGCCGUACAUGGUUGAAAACAGCUGGGUAAACCACACAGAAACCAACAGGGGCUUGUUCCCUGUAGGGACAGUGCUGCAGUACAGCUGUGACCCUGGUUAUCUGCCAGAUAGACCCAGCAUUCUCACCUGCAUCUCGACAGGACGCUGGUCCUCAGAACCACCUCAGUGCACACAGAGUGAUGCUUGUCUGCCCCUGUCUGAACCAGAGAAUGGGGGUUACACCUGCCACCCAUCCCCCUGUCGAUUGUUUUCCCACGGCACUGUUGUUGAGUUCUUCUGUCACACAGGCUUCAUGCUCAAGGGGAAAUACAACUACCUUACUUGUCAGGAUGGACAGUGGGACGGCCAUAUGCAGAUCAGCUGUGUCAAACGAGGUUGUUUAAGACCUUCAAUGGAGCAGCACAUUUCCUCUAAGCUGAUGGACACCAACAUCAGUUCCUUCCCCGUGGGGGCCGUGCUGCAGUAUCGCUGUGACCCAGGUUACCAGCCUGACGGACCUACCAUCAUCAGCUGCACUGGUUUGGGACACUGGUCCUCAAAACCUCCUCUUUGUUUACGCACUGAUGUAUGCCAGCCUCCAUAUCAACCAGAAAAUGGAGGCUACACCUGCCACCCUUCCCAAUGUCAAAGACUUUCUCACGGUACUGUGAUUGAGUAUUUCUGCGAUGAGGGUUACAUUCUGAAAGGAGACUAUAAAUACCUCACCUGUCAAUAUGGCAAGUGGGAUGGGCUAAUGCAGAUAACCUGCGUAUUGGAGCAAGACCGUGACAGGAUUUUACCGUUGGGGAUGCCGGCUCUUUCCAUCGUGUCAUCCACAGCCAGCUCGGUGGCCCUCAUCCUGUUCCUGGUGGUACUCUUUGUGCUUUUGCAGCCAAAACUGAAGUAUUUUCAUUGGCGGGAUCAGGGGGUGUCAGGCCAGUCCGUGUCCAUCAUGGUGGAAGGAGUGCAGGUAGCUCUGCCCUCAUACGAGGAGGCAGUCAGCAGUAACACCAGCUCAGCCACGGCUCUCGACUUCGAGUCUCGUGUCCAGAUUGUGCUGUCUGAGGGGCAGCAAGCCACAACGCCAGUGGCUGGCCCCUCUCGGCCUCCGUCCGUCAAAGAGCUGCCCUCAGAGAUGGCCAUGGUGCACUCUUUGCCGCCUUCAUCGUCGGCAUCACCCUCCUCAUCCUCUAGCUGGACUCUAGAGAAUGCAAGCGCUGCAGCUCUGCAAUCCGGGGACCAGCACAGCCUCAAUGUGCUGGACUCGGAGAUGGACAGCUCUGACGAUAUGCCAUUACUGAAGGAUGCCUGAAACAUGCAAUACAUUGGAUGAUGCAGAGACAGCAAGUUUUGCUACUGAUGGCAUGUCAAACUUACUUUGGACUGAGUCUGCACAUGGUGGACAUGACGAAUCCCAGGACAAAGCCUAUGAAGGGCAUCAGAGCUGCCACAGUCAAAACAUCAGCGGUGAGGAUCAUCCACAAAAUAUCUUUGACCGCCAGGCCAGACAAGGUGAACAAGAUGACGCUGGAGAUGAUCAGUAUGCCUAAACCAGACUUUUAGCAAAGUCAAGCAGAACAUUUAUCGCAUCACGUUGAAACACUGCAUUUAAGGCAAGGUAGGAGGAAAACAUGGCAUUCAUUAUGUGGGAACAUGUGGGAUCAUUUACUUUUGUAUUUGUGGAGAACUUCCUGUUGUUGAGAAGAUAAGCACCAUUGCUGGUUCUUUAGCCUGAUCUGUGACUCUUUAUAUGAGCGGUGUUUUUGUUUGGAAAAUGUCUUGAACAAGAAAUGAUAUUACCUUCAAGACCACCGGAGUGUAUUUCGGCUUGUAUUGAUUGAUAGCGAUGCCCAUGGCGCAGGGCACCAGGGUGAAGGCGAGAGCCGUGAUGAUGCCGACAUAGGGCACAGCGUUCUCCAAGCCGCUGAAGCCCUGGCUGUAGACGUAGAGCAGCAAGGGCAUCAGACCCAGAGCUGCAAUGCAGGAGCAGGUGGUCAUCACUAUGCUUGAAAGAGAAAAAAAGGAAGAUUUUAAUAGGAUACGCAUACAGGUCAAAUUAUAUUCAUUCCUUUUAUACAGCGGACUUUGGGUACACAUGGACUGCUCACCAGUCAAUCACAAACAACCAUUCAACAAGCUGACAAAGUGGGAUGAUAACCAUAGAAUUGGAAAUCUGACAUCCUGCAACAUUGGAAAGGGUCUUGCUCCUCAGUACAAUCUCAGGGCAUUCAAUCGAUCACAACUGGAGUGUUUUUUUAACGUUAUGCCUAUUCACAACCGUUAUGAUUUUAAGCACACAUAUGUUUUCCCUUUUCAUGCAUUCUAACUAGUAAACUGAAGCUAACAAUAGAUGUAAUGUGACUCACUCUAUUCUGUCUAUAAAGUGCCCUAAAUAUUAUCCAAAAAACGUAAUCACCGUCUUAUUUACAUGCUGUAAGUGUAUUUGUAGUGUAAUGUACUACUUUGUAAAAGGAACAUUCAUAUUAACAUGUAAUAUUUACAUAUUUUGGUAAUUUUUUGUGUACGGCAGCUUUUGCUAUUUCCUUGAAUUGAAUUGAAUUUAAAUAUUUUAUUUCAAACCUGCACAGUACAACUAAACACAGUUUUUGUUUUUUUUUACAUGUUGGCAAAAAUAUUUAUGCGAGGCUUGAAAAGGGGUUGGAUGAAGCAGCUGCUUAUAAUAGCCCAACCCCUCUCACUCAUUCCACAUUUAACAUAAACAAUAUAAUACAAGAACAAUACUCUAUAAACAAAACAAGAAAAACUCCUGUACACUAACAAUACCAUGAGACAAGACAAGACGAGACAAAACACACACACGCACACACACACACACACACUCGGGCCCAAACACUCUCCGACCAUACACCUCUCUCCCAUCGCUCUGUGCUGAGGGCAUCACUCUCUUUCCUCCUCGUACUUCUUCAGUACUUCUUUUUUAAACAGCAUUUUAAAUCAACAACAACAACUGCAAAUCAUGUCAGACUUAAUGAGAGACAACAACGACUACUCUGGGUCCAAUGAUGAUUAGAAACCUUAUAUUUCUGAGCCUGCAUAUAAGGAGGAUGAGCUACAAGUUUUAGAGGCUGAUUGAUAAGCAUAUCCUAACCAUAGGACCGAGGCUCAUUGUCCGACCGCGAGUGCCUCCUAUUUGUUUUUCAGCUCUGGUCUUAAAGGGCCGCAGCGGUACUCAGUUGUAAUACACUUUUACACUACUUGCGGCAGUAAUAACAAAAACAAACAGAAGAAGUCUGGAUCUAAAGUUUGUACACUGCUCUCGACCCUGACUUUUUCAGACUAUUUUUAAGGGGAAAAAAACGUCUUAUAUUGAGAGUUAAGUAGCACAGAUUAGUUUGGGAAAAUACCACACCUGCUGCAUUUUGUAAGGAGUGCAGUAACUAAUGCAGAAGUCAUCAUUUCAAUUGAACCUACGAUUUACCUGAGGUUCAUGUCUCCCUUGAGGGCCAAAGCGAAGAUAUUGGACAGGUUUCCUCCAGGACAGCAGCCACAGAUGAGCACCGUCACAGCCUUAAUGGAAUCCAUCUUCAGUAAUUUAGCAAGACAGAACGCAGUCAAAGGCAUGAUUCCGAAUUGGGCCACAAUGGCGAUGGCGACCCCUUUCGGUCUCAGCAGAUGGGUCCUGAUUUUGGAAAUCUCCAUCGUACAUCCCAGAGAUGUCAUGGUGAUGAAGAGGAGGAGGAUGGAGAGGAUGUUGAUGGCUUUGUUGAGAGGAGAGGAUGUGUCAAGCACUGCCAUGCUGCCGUUGUAGGACAUGUUGCCUCCAUUGUGAAGGAUGAAAAUGCCCUGGUAGGCGUCCGUCACAUUCAUGGCGGUUCUUUCUUAGUGCAGCUUUUACUGGAACCUUGUUACCUGUCGCAAAAAGAAAAUCUUUUUUCAAUAUACAAACCCCGUUUCCAUAUCAAUCAAUCAAUCAAUGUUUACUUAUAUAGCCCUAAAUCACUAGUGUCUCAAAGGGCUGCGUUGUGAAAUUGUGUUAGUAGUAAAUAUA